rnacentral:rRNA from 1 species
AGCGAACGCUGGCGGCAGGCCUAACACAUGCAAGUCGAACGGACCCUUCGGGGUUAGUGGCGGACGGGUGAGUAACACGUGGGAACGUGCCUUUAGGUUCGGAAUAGCUCCUGGAAACGGGUGGUAAUGCCGAAUGUGCCCUUCGGGGGAAAGAUUUAUCGCCUUUAGAGCGGCCCGCGUCUGAUUAGCUAGUUGGUGAGUUAAUGGCUCACCAAGGCGACGAUCAGUAGCUGGUCUGAGAGGAUGAACAGCCACAUUGGGACUGAGACACGGCCCAAACUCCUACGGGAGGCAGCAGUGGGGAAUCUUGCGCAAUGGGCGAAAGCCUGACGCAGCCAUGCCGCGUGGAUGAUGAAGGUCUUAGGAUUGUAAAAUCCUUUCACCGGUGAAGAUAAUGACUGUAGCCGGAGAAGAAGCCCCGGCUAACUUCGUGCCAGCCGCCGCAGUAACAC